AAGUUCUACAUGCACUCUUAGAUCUUUACAAGGUACAAUAAGAACUAGGAAGCAACUCCGAGGGUCUAUUUCUUUUGAUAUCGAUCUGUGAUGGUAUGAUUUAAAACCAGCAACAGCAAGUAUCCAGCAAAUUUUCCACUCCCCAGAUUGAAAAGAAAGAAUGCCACAAUGUGGCCAAUAGCUUUCUUUUUCCAUUUCCAAUCCAUGAUCAUAGGCAAGUGCUUGCAGCACUCAAGAGAAAUCAACAACAUCACUUGACAUUGGCAUAAUUUAACAUUCAAAAUAAUAUUCACGUUGCAGAACAACUACUCAUCAAUGGCACUCUACAAACAGAACCAAUUUUACAUCAAGAAAAAGCCUAUCAAAACUAUAGGCAUAAACCAAACUAAUUACCUCAUCAAUAAAUCAGUAACUUAAUUACUCCAUUGAUGUAGCAAAACAACACUUACUACUUGACUAUUUAACACCACAAAAUGAAACCAUAUUAAGACUCCCA
rnacentral:misc_RNA from 1 species